rnacentral:misc_RNA from 1 species
GAUGAAGAACGUAGCGAAAUGCGAUUAGUAAUGUGAAUUGCAGAAUUCAGUGAAUCAUCGAAUCUUUGAACGCAUCUUGCGCUCCUUGGUAUUCUGAGGAGCAUGCCUGUUUGAGUGUCAUUAAAUUCUCAACUACACUGACUUUGAAUUGGUGUGGCUUGGAUUUGGGGGGAAAAUUGUUGUGGGCUUUUUGUAUAGUCUGCUCCCCUGAAAUUGAUUAGCGGUACCUUUGUGGAACUGUCUACAGGUGUGAUAAUUAUCUACAUCUUAGACAUCUGCUGGAAUGCUGCUUUCUAAACCUUACUUGUAUUGACAAUCUUGACCUCAAAUCAGGUAGGACUACCCACUGAACUUAAGCAUAUCAAUAAGCGGAGGA